GUGCCUUUCAGGGAGCUCUGUUUAAUUUCAGCAGCGGCAAUCCUGCGCUGAGAGGAGGACGGUAGCAAAAAGGAAGAACCUGGAUAUAAGAAAGUAUUUUUCAAAUAAACCUAGAGUGGUGAGCUGCAGUCUGCUCAGCAAUGAGAACAGAAGAUGUCAGCUGAUACAGAUGAAUGAUCACCAAAGAGAAGAGAGGCCGAAAGCAGGUUAGCACCUCAUACCACAGUACACCAAAAGCAGUCUCAUGAGCGCUGGGAAGGACAAGCCCCGAGCCCAAAACAGACAGUGCAGGAGAUGAGCUGUCCUGUGCCAGAUGUUCUGUUGACCCACAGUGAGAGGCGUCAUUUCAGAAACACCAGGAAGACUGAAAGUCAUCGCCGGGAUCAAGCAGGGCUCGUGAUCUUCACCAGCAGCUCCCUCACAAGAAGGAUAAACCCAGCAUUUCAUGAACACUGAUGGAGACCUUUGCUUUGUGUAAUGUUAGAAGUACUCAGAUAAUCCUCAGAGGGUCCGGACUUUUAUAUAGUAUAAUAGCUUUAAGUCCUGUAGAAAGUUAAAUAUAUGUUGUGCUCUCUAUUAAAAAUAAUUCGGACAGUUUUUUAACCUGAAUAUUUGUAACAAACUCAGUAAAAAAUGCUAAAA